GGACUCAGUGUUUAGUUCCCAGGGUCUAGUCUGUGGUUAAAAGUUGGAUAUUAGUAGGCCGGGCGCGGUGGCUCACGCCUGUAAUCCCAGCACUUUGGGAGGCCGAGGCGGGCGGGUCACGAGGUCAGGAGAUUGAGACCAUCCUGGCUAACACGGUGAAACCCCGUCUCUACUAAAAAUACAAAAAAAUUAGCCGGGUGUGGUGGCGGGCGCCUGUAGUCCCAGCUACUCGGGAGGCUGAGGCAGGAGAAUGGCAUGAACCCGG
rnacentral:lncRNA from 1 species